rnacentral:rRNA from 1 species
UGGGGAAUAUUGGGGCAAUGGGGCGAAAGCCUGACCCAGCGACGCCGCGUGAAGGAAGAAGGUCUUUGGAUUGUAAACUUCUGUUAUGGGGGACGAACACAUGACGGUACCCCAUGAGAAAGCCACGGCUAACUACGUGCCAGCAGCCGCGGUAAUACGUAGGUGGCAAGCGUUGUCCGGAUUUACUGGGUGUAAAGGGCGUGUAGCCGGGUCUGCAAGUCAGAUGUGAAAUCCAUGGGCUUAACCCAUGAACUGCAUUUGAAACUGUGGAUCUUGAGUGCUGGAGGGGCAAUCGGAAUUCCUAGUGUAGCGGUGAAAUGCGUAGAUAUUAGGAGGAACACCAGUGGCGAAGGCGGAUUGCUGGACAGUAACUGACGGUGAGGCGCGAAAGUGUGGGGAGCAAACAGGAUUAGAUACCCUGGUAGU